AGAAGAGUGAGGGGAGACAGACAAGAAGAGUGAGACAAGAAGAGCGAGGCGAGACGGACAAGAAGAGCGGGGCGAGACGGACAAGAAGAGCGAGGUGAGACGGACAAGAAGAGCGGGGCGAGAC